AUGAGGUGCGGCCCCAGACGGUCCCCUGGGGCCAGGCUGUGCUCCCAGGUGGCAGGGGCGGCCGUGGGCAGGGGGCAGGUCCGGCGCUGUCUCGAUGAGCUGCUGGAAGGGGGUCCUGGCGACUGUGGCGCCGGAGCAUCCCCUGAGCCGCUGGCCUGUGCCCGCUGCUGCUCCAAGGCCCAGCCCCCCAAGACGGCGCCCCAGCCUGGAAGCACAGAGGGCGUCCCUGGCCAGGUGGGGGCCAUGCGGCUCGCGGUGCCUGCUGCGUCCCUUUGUCUUUGCGCCAGUCUGAUGAGUCAGCCUGCAUUAGCGCCUCGUGGACGCGGGCUGGGUCUGGCCCGUGGGUGCUGUGCUCUCGGGCGCGGCAGGUCCCCUCCCGAGGUCCUGGGGGAAUGGGAGUGCCCUGAAGCCGUGUCCAAUGGAUACGGGGUUCGGGCGUCUGGGACUUGGAGGACGCCUCCCUGGGGCACACGGCCCAGCCGUCAGGAGGUGGACAAGGGGCUGCAGGGACACGAGAAGGUGCCGGCAGGUGGGGUGUGGGGAGCACCAAGGGGGGCAGGACACGGGGGGCUCAGAGGCUCACGCACCCCAAACCACAGAGCACCGGGCUGUCCUGGUCUCUGGAAUGGUCUGGAGCUGCUUUUUAAAAUUUUUUUAGUCUAUCACAAAACGUGGAUCACUUGCUUGGGGGGGGACGCAGACUGGGGCGCCCGCGGGCAGAGGCAGGGACCCGGGAAGGGGGCAGGUCCCCCGCUCUGUGUGGCGCAGGCCCAGUGGGGUGGCAGGGGGGUCAGGACGGCCCAGGCUGACCCCAAGCACCCCUGGGCGGGGCCCCCCAUCCUGCAUCCUGCAGCCCUAGUGUCCAGAUUCCAGCGAUUCGCUGGCUUCCCACCCUGCGGCGUCCGUCUGUCACCCUCGGGGGCUGGACUGGCCGCCGGCCUCUCGGUGACUGCGCAGCCCCGGGUCUGCGGCUCCUGCCGGGGUAACGUGGGCAGGUGGGGGACCCAGUGCCCUCUGACAGCGAGCCCCGCACUCGCGGUGUGGCCACUCCCCAACGGUUGGCACAAGUGUCCCAUGUGCAGGUUCAGUCCCAGCAGCCACCACUUAGUGGCAGGGAUGUCCUGUGGGUUCACGUUCCCCAGGCGGCGCCAGGACUGGGCCGAUGCAGUGGGGGCCGCGCCGUCGAGGGAGGCUGUGGCCGGGCUCGGGGUCCCGGUGCUGCCAGUGGCAGGUGGGCACGCCCUGCAGGUAGGGGGUGCAUCUGACCAUGGGGAGCGCCCCACCUUGGCGUCCGCCCCCGGGGCACUCAGCACCCAAGGUCUGCGUCCCGAUAAGCCGCAGCUCAGGGCAGGUUGCCACGUGGCCUCUGGGUGA
rnacentral:lncRNA from 1 species